rnacentral:rRNA from 1 species
GCUCAGAGUGAACGCUGGCGGCGUGCUUAACACAUGCAAGUCGAACGAGAACGGAUUAAAGCUUGCUUUAAUUGUCAGCUAAGUGGCGCACGGGUGAGUAAUAUAUAGGUAACGUGCCUUCAAGAUGGGGAUAACGUUUGGAAACGAACGCUAAAACCCGAUAUGCCUUUAAGUCUUAAGACUGCAAGGGAAAUAUUUAUAGCUUGAAGAUCGGCCUGUACAGUAUCAGUUAGUUGGUGAGGUAAUGGCUCACCAAGACAAUGACGCUUAACUGGUUUGAGAGGAUGAUCAGUCACACUGGAACUGAGACACGGUCCAGACUCCUACGGGAGGCAGCAGUGGGGAAUAUUGCACAAUGGACGAAAGUCUGAUGCAGCAACGCCGCGUGGAGGAUGACACAUUUCGGUGCGUAAACUCCUUUUAUAUAGGAAGAUAAUGACGGUACUAUAUGAAUAAGCACCG